rnacentral:rRNA from 1 species
GGUCGAGUCGGCCUGCGCGGAAGAUGUAACGGGGCUAAACCAUGCACCGAAGCUGCGGCAGCGACGCUUAGGCGUUGUUGGGUAGGGGAGCGUUCUGUAAGCCGUUGAAGGUGGCCUGUGAGGGUUGCUGGAGGUAUCAGAAGUGCGAAUGCUGACAUAAGUAACGAUAAAGCGGGUGAAAAACCCGCUCGCCGGAAGACCAAGGGUUCCUGUCCAACGUUAAUCGGGGCAGGGUGAGUCGACCCCUAAGGCGAGGCCGAAAGGCGUAGUCGAUGGGAAACAGGUUAAUAUUCCUGUACUCGGUGUUACUGCGAAGGGGGGACGGAGAAGGCUAGGCUAGCCGGGCGACGGUUGUCCCGGUUUAAGCGUGUAGGGGGAGUGACCUGGUAAAUCCGGUUACUUAUUCAACCCUGAGGCGUGAUGACGAUGCACUACGGUGCAGAAGUAGUUGAUGCCAAGCUUCCAGGAAAAGCCUCUAAGCAUCAGGUAACACAGAAUCGUACCCCAAACCGACACAGGUGGUCAGGUAGAGAAUACCAAGGCGCUUGAGAGAACUCGGGUGAAGGAACUAGGCAAAAUGGUGCCGUAACUUCGGGAGAAGGCACGCUGGCGCGUAGGUGAAGAGACUUGCUCUCGGAGCUGAAGCCAGUCGCAGAUACCAGCUGGCUGCAACUGUUUAAUAAAAACACAGCACUGUGCAAACACGAAAGUGGACGUAUACGGUGUGACGCCUGCCCGGUGCUGGAAGGUUAAUUGAUGGGGUCAGCCGCAAGGCGAAGCUCUUGAUCGAAGCCCCAGUAAACGGCGGCCGUAACUAUAACGGUCCUAAGGUAGCGAAAUUCCUUGUCGGGUAAGUUCCGACCUGCACGAAUGGCGUAAUGAUGGCCAGGCUGUCUCCACCCGAGACUCAGUGAAAUUGAACUCGCUGUGAAGAUGCAGUGUACCCGCGGCAAGACGGAAAGACCCCGUGAACCUUUACUAUAGCUUGACACUGAACAUUGAGCCUUGAUGUGUAGGAUAGGUGGGAGGCUUUGAAGUGUGGACGCCAGUCUGCAUGGAGCCAACCUUGAAAUACCACCCUUUAAUGUUUGAUGUUCUAACUCGGCCCCAUAAUCUGGGGUGAGGACAGUGUCUGGUGGGUAGUUUGACUGGGGCGGUCUCCUCCCAAAGAGUAACGGAGGAGCACGAAGGUUAGCUAAUCACGGUCGGACAUCGUGAGGUUAGUGCAAAGGCAUAAGCUAGCUUGACUGCGAGAGUGACGGCUCGAGCAGGUACGAAAGUAGGUCUUAGUGAUCCGGUGGUUCUGAAUGGAAGGGCCAUCGCUCAACGGAUAAAAGGUACUCCGGGGAUAACAGGCUGAUACCGCCCAAGAGUUCAUAUCGACGGCGGUGUUUGGCACCUCGAUGUCGGCUCAUCACAUCCUGGGGCUGAAGUAGGUCCCAAGGGUAUGGCUGUUCGCCAUUUAAAGUGGUACGCGAGCUGGGUUUAGAACGUCGUGAGACAGUUCGGUCCCUAUCUGCCGUGGGCGUUGGAAGAUUGAGAGGGGUUGCUCCUAGUACGAGAGGACCGGAGUGAACGCACCACUGGUGUUCGGGUUGUCAUGCCAAUGGCACUGCCCGGUAGCUAAGUGCGGAAAAGAUAAGCGCUGAAAGCAUCUAAGCGCGAAACUUGCCUCGAGAUGAGUCUUCCCUGGGAACUUGAUUCCCCUGAAGGAACGUUUAAGACUAAGACGUUGAUAGGCUGGGUGUGUAAGUGCAGCGAUGCAUUGAGCUAACCAGUACUAAUGAUCCGUGAGACUUAACCUU